rnacentral:rRNA from 1 species
CCUACGGGUGGCAGCAGUGGGGAAUAUUGGGCAAUGGGCGCAAGCCUGACCCAGCAACGCCGCGUGAAGGAAGAAGGCUUUCUGGUUGUAAACUUUGUUUCUCAGGGACGAAGAAAGCGACGGUCCCUGAGGAAUAAGCCACGGCUAACUACGUGGCAGCAGCCGCGGUAAUACGGAGGUGGCAAGCGUUAUCCGGAUUUAUUGGGUGUAAAGGGGGUGGAGGCGGGAGGGGAAGUCAGAUGUGAAAAUUGAGGGCUCAACCCUGAGCCUGCAUUUGAAACUGUGUUUCUUGAGUGCGGGAGAGGCAAUCGGAAUUCCUGGUGUAGCGGUGAAAUGCGUAGAUAUACGGAGGAACACCGGUGGCGAAGGCGGAUUACUGGGCAGUAACUGACGCUGAGGCACGAAAGCGUGGGGAGCAAACAGGAUUAGAUACCCGAGUAGUC